UACGAAGGGUGCAAACGUUGCUCGGAAUUAUUGGGCGUAAAGGGCGCGUAGGCGGCCAUGCGUGUCUUCCGUGAAAUCCCUCGGCUUAACUGAGGACGUGCGGAAGAAACUGCAAGGCUUGAGUCCGGGAGAGGGGGGUGGAAUUCCCAGUGUAGCGGUGAAAUGCGUAGAUAUCGGGAGGAACACCAGUGGCGAAGGCGGCAUCCUGGACAGUUACUGACGCUCAGGCACGAAAGCGUGGGGAGCAAAAGGG
rnacentral:rRNA from 1 species